UACGAGGGGGGCGAGCGUUGUUCGGAAUUAUUGGGCGUAAAGGGUGCGUAGGCGGUUUGGUAAGUCUUGUGUGAAAUCUCCAGGCUCAACUUGGAGUCUGCACGAGAAACUGCCGGGCUUGAGUGUGGGAGAGGUGAGUGGAAUUCCUGGUGUAGCGGUGAAAUGCGUAGAUAUCAGGAGGAACACCGGUGGCGAAGGCGGGUCUCUGGGCCGAUAUCGACGCUGAGGAGCGAAAGCGUGGGGAGCGAACAGG
rnacentral:rRNA from 1 species